UGUCCAGUAGCACCUUAGAGACCAACUAAGUUUGUUCUUGGUAUGAGCUUCCGUGUGCAUGUAUACUUCUUCAGAUACCAUCUUAGUUGGUCUCUAAGGUGCUACUGGACA